GGAAGUAAAAGUUGUAACAAGGUUUCCGUAGGUGAACCUGCGGAAGGAUCAUUAACGAGUUAGGGUCUUCCAGGCCCGACCUCCCAACCCUAUGUUUAUUGAACCUCUGUUGCUUCGGCGGGCCCGUCUCACGGCCGCCGGGGGAGUCGCCGCGAGGCACCCUCUGGCCAGCGUCCGCCGAUGGCCAACCUCAAAACUCUGAAUGAAUCGUGUCAUGAUGUCUAAGUCUAUGAUUAAAUUAAAGCAAAACUUUCAACAACGGAUCUCUUGGUUCUG
rnacentral:misc_RNA from 1 species